UUUACAUGUUAAAGCAUGGACCUUCUUGCUCAGGAAUGAUACAAUCAAUCCAACUGUUACCUUUGGGGUGCUUUUUGGAUGGACUAAUCUGAAGAUGUUGGCUAGCUUGCACCGCCAUCAUAUAAUCUAGAAGCAAGGGCAAGGAUUAUAGGGAAAAUAAAGGCAAUUCGCCAACCGGAGGAAAUGCCAACCAAUACAUUUUUGUACUUCCUCUGUUACAGAGUUCGUUCAGGCCUUAGGGACGCUUUCCAUCACUGUCCAUCAACAAGUUCAACUCCGACAACGGUUCACCGAUAAUGUCGGCCGGUGCACCACGUCAGCAAUGUCGACGGCCUGACAGGCCAUUUUCCAAC